CAGAGUGCGUGGUUACGAUCUCCAGCUUUGCGCAGUGGCAGUAUCGUAGCCAAUGAGGUUUAUCCGAGGCGCGAUUAUUGCUAAUUGAAAACUUUUCCCAAUACCCCGCCAUGACGACUUGAAAUAUAGUCGGCAUUGGCAAUUUUUGACAGUCUCUACGGAGACUGAAUACUUAUGUAUCGAAAAGAAGUUUGUGGAACAAGUAGCUGUCACCCGAGCAGAUUUUUUUUCAGUGCUGAAUGUUAACCGUUUCCAACUGAUCAUGAGCACGUAUAUAGUACUCGGUGAAGUUAUUUCCCCAAAAAUGUGAAAUGUGUAUGAGGAUCUUUUAUUAUGGUAAAGUAAUGUGUUUUAUAAUUAGGUAUCUGACCCCGUUGAGAGGUACGGAUUUCCCAGGGUUGGAGGGAGUGAAUCUUGACCAAGUGCUUCUUAAAAGCCCCGGAGGAAAAAGAUGCUCUACUUUUACUUAGUCCCCAUUGUGACGUUCCAGGCAGAGCUGUGCUGGAAACCAAGUCACUUUAAUUCUAGUGUUGUACUGGGUUCUGCUACAUUGGCUACCUCUAGUCUUGUUCUCUCCCUAGGGAGCCCAGAGGUGUCCCAGGACAGACGCCCUCAAGAGGCCCACCCUUGCUCCUGGCAGAUCCAGGAAAAUGCCUAUGCAUGGGCAUUUGGGAUGUUUCCAGUUUUUCCUGAUUAUAAGCAAUGCUCCAGUGAACAUCCUUGGGUGUACAGCUUUGCCUGCUCAUGGGAUAUUUCUAGGAAAAUUCUCUAAAGCCUGGGCUCCGAGGGCUAUCUCAGCAAGAAAAGGACUCACUAGCCCCCAAACAAUCUUCUUAGUGUCCAAAUCACUGCAGACUGUCUGCAAGAAUCUCUGGCUUCUCGAGGUUAAAAAUAUCCUGUGCCGGAGGGGCCAUCAGUGUCUGGCUCAGAAGAGAACUGGCUCUCCAUUGCUGGGGAAAUUAACUAAAACCAAUUGACUUUUUUUCUAUGAAGCUUUGAAGCCAGACUUUCAACUGGGUUAAAAUCCUUACUCCACUAUUUGCUAGCUAUGUGACCCUAGGCCACGUCCUUAACUUCUCUGUGCCUCAGUUUCCCUGGCUGUAAAAGGAGUGUCGUGAUCUCAUCCAUCUCAGAGGCCAGCGGGUCUCCAUCCUGGCUGUGUACAAGAAUUGGCUGGCAAGCUUUUAAAAAUCCUGAUGUCCAGGCUGUAUUCUAAGCCAAUUAAAUCUGAGUUUCUGAGGGCUAGUGUUCUGGGCAAAAAUGUAUAUAUUUUAAAGUUUCCCAGAUGUUUCUGAUGUGCCGUAGAGAUUUUGUGAGUAUUGCAUGAUAUUGUCAGUAUUGAAUGAAAAGUGCUUCUGCUGGUGCCUGACACAGAGUUGAAUGCUUUGGUAGGGGUUGUGGGACCAAUCAUCUAAGCCUGGGUGGUGGUCAGGGAAAGCUUCCUGGAGGAGGGGUUAGCUGAGCUGUGAACCAAAGGAGAGGAGUUACCCUGGCCAAAGAGAACAGGAUGAAUUUUAGCAGGAGUAACAGCACCUGCAGGCAUCUGGAGCCUGGGGGAUGUGGCCUCCAGAGGAAUUGAAAAUCAUUCUCUGUGACUGGAGCUGAGAAGGGAGAAAGUAGACAUAUUGGGUCCCCUGAUGAGGUUAGAGGUCAGAGAAAAUCACUGUUUUAUGCUGGUAUCCUGAAGGAUUAUU